UAAGCAUAUAACUAAGCGGAGGAAAAGAAACUAACAAGGAUUCCCCUAGUAGCGGCGAGCGAAGCGGGAAGAGCCCGGGAUGAAAAUCUCUUCGGAGAGUUGUAGUCUGAGCUCCCUUGGGCGGUCAGUGUGGGUAAAUCGUCUGGGAUGACGUGCCAGGGAGGGUGAGAGCCCCGUCCACCCCACACAGGACCCGCCCGCACGAGGGCGCUUCAACCGAGUCGGGUAGCUUGGGAAUGCUGCUCCAAUUGGUGGUAAAUCUCAUCAAAGGCUAAAUAACGGUGGGAGACCGAUAGCGAACAAGUACCGUGAGGGAAAGAUGGAAAGAACUUUGAAAAGAGAGUGAAAAGCGCUUGAAACCGUCACGGGGGAAGCGGAUUGCGUGAGUGAUGGUGUGCACUGUUCAGCUCAAAUAUUUGGAGUGUAUUCUGUGCAUGCCGGGCGUGUGUGGCUGGGUUGCGUGCGAUUUUGGCACGCGGUCCUGGUGAGGGCUCCCUGCUUGUCGGGUGAGGACACACGCGAAAUGACGCAAUACGACCCGUCUUGAAACACGGACCAAGGAGUCUAGCACGGCUGCGAGUCGAAGGGUGUUAAAACCCAGAGGGCGCAGUGAAAGCGAAAGAAAGCAAAUUGGGGAGGCGUUGCGGUUUUACCAAAAUGUCCUACCUCGAGCACCUGUGCUGGGACCCGAAAGAUGGUGAACUAUGCCGGAGUAGGGCAAAGCCAGAGGAAACUCUGGUGGAGGCUCGUAGCGAUGCUGACGUGCAAAUCGCUCGUCGAACUUGGGUAUAGGGGCGAAAGACUAAUCGAACCAUCUAGUAGCUGGUUCCCUCCGAAGUUUCUCUCAGGAUAGCGGGCCGACGACAUGUUGUUUUGUGCGGUAAAGCGAAUGAUUAGUGCAUUUGGGGGCCGAAGGCCUCCAGGCGAUUCUCAAACUUUAAAUGCGCAAGGGGGCGGCUGCUUAAUUGAGCCUGCUCUUUGAAAAACGUCGGCCCUGUGGGCCACUUUUGGUAAGCAGAACUGGCGAUAAGGGAUGAACCUUAAGCGCGGUUAAGGCGCCGCAUUGCCCGCUUAUAGACCCCACAAAA
rnacentral:rRNA from 1 species